AGAGAGAGACAUGCGCGCAUAUCAAUAAGCGGAGGAAAAGAAACUAACUAGGAUUCCCUCAGUAACGGCGAGUGAAGCGGGAAGAGCUCAAAUUUGAAAUCUUAAAGGGUUCUACCUUGACGAAUUGUAGUUUAAAGAAGUGUUUUCUGUUGGAGGUUUUGGUAAAAGUUCUUUGGAAUAGGACAUCAUAGAGGGUGAGAAUCCCGUAUUUGACCAUUAUUUCCAGCUUUGUGAUACACUUUCAAAGAGUCGGAUUGUUUGGGAAUGCAGUCCAAAAUGGGUGGUAAAUUUCAUCUAAAGCUAAAUAUUGGCGAGAGACCGAUAGCGAACAAGUACCGUGAGGGAAAGAUGAAAAGAACUUUGAAAAGAGAGUUAAACAGUACGUGAAAUUGUCAAAAGGGAAGCGUUUGACACCAGUGUUGUUUUCUCGAAAAUCAAUUAAAAAAGGCAGGAUUUUGUGUUGUAUUGACUUUAUCAGCUUUCUGCACUCUUUUCUUGUCUUUUUUAAUGCACUUUUCGUUUAACAAGUCAACAUCAAUUUCUUUUGUUGUAAAAGGGUCAUUGGAAGGUGGCUUUCUUUUCGGAGAAAGUGUUUAUAGCCUUUGGCCUCUGCAAUCGGAGAGAUUGAGGUCUGCAGCGUAGAUCCUUCGGGGUUAGAUACAUUUGUGCUAAGUUAUAGCCUUUCAUAGACAACUUGUUGACUAUGAUCAGUCAUGUAGCUUACUCGCUUAUGCUAUUUUACCUACGCUUAGGAUGUUGAUGUGAUACUGCGAGCA
rnacentral:rRNA from 1 species